rnacentral:tmRNA from 2 species
GGGGGUGUUACAGAUUCGCCCGUUAAACUGAUGGAUUGGUAAGCGUGUCGCAGUCGCCCGAACUGCGUUAAAAACGAGCAAAAAAAUUAAAUGCAGAUAACAAUUCUGUCGCCAACACUCGUUUGGCACUUGCUGCUUAAUAGAUAGUUGCAGCUCGUCGCCCUUGUUUACCUCACGACAAGCAAGCGGCGUCAUUAAGUGAGGCGUAGGGAACGUCGGCGUCGUCCGACCGUCGUUCGCCGUUAAGGACGUUACCUUCGGUUUGGUCUGUUUGCCGACUUAGCCGAUGGGACAAAAAACAGACAAACUACACACGUAGAAAGCCUUUUGGUCGUUUGGCGGUACAGGGGUGCAAGUCCCCUCAUCUCCACCA